rnacentral:rRNA from 1 species
GUAAGCUGCCCCUCACUGAUCUUGUUUGAGCUUGAAAGUGAAUCAGUGUCGGACCUGGUUAGUACUUAUCUAGGAGACUGUCUAGGAACGCCAGCUGCUGCAGGCU